UUUUCCUGGAUAUUACUAUGGCAACACUGUGAUUUCAUUUUAUCAAAGUGAAAUUCUAGAAUUACCUGCAAUAGAACCAGUGAUCUUUAAGGCUAAUGAAAGAAAACAAAGAACAAUUGGAAGUGAGUGACAAGAAUGUAAAAGGACAUGAUAGUGAUAAUAAUCUGAAGACGCAACCCAACUGCAACACAUGGAAGGAUGAAAGAAAGAAGAAGCACUCUACUUUUUGGCUUUUCUACAGUACUAGAAAGGGCUGGAAUCACCUACCUGGUACCUUUUGGAAAGAGUCCCAAGUCUGACUAUCAUCAUUUCUCAUGGCAUGCCC
ensembl:lncRNA